CAGGACGAACGCUGGCGGCGUGCUUAACACAUGCAAGUUGAACGGUCUGACAUGGAAGCUUGCUGAAGUGUCGGGUAGUAGCGGACGGGUGAGUAAUGCAUGAGAAGCUGCCAUUGGGAGGGGGACAACAGUUGGAAACGGCUGCUAAUACCCCAUAUGCCGAAAGGUGAAAGGGAGCGAUCCGCCCGAUGAGGUGCUCAUGUCCUAUCAGCUGGUUGGUGAGGUAACGGCUCACCAAGGCGACGACGGGUAGCCGGCCUGAGAGGGUGACCGGCCACACUGGAACUGAGAUACGGUCCAGACUCCUACGGGAGGCAGCAGUGGGGAAUAUUGGGCAAUGGGGGCAACCCUGACCCAGCGACGCCGCGUGAGGGAAGACGGCCUUCGGGUUGUAAACCUCUUUUGUACGGGAAGAAGGACGUGACGGUACCGUACGAAUAAGUCCCGGCUAACUACGUGCCAGCAGCCGCGGUAAAAG
rnacentral:rRNA from 1 species